CCGUGUUGUUUAUCUGUAUCCUGGGUUUUCCCAUUCUUAAAAAUACCCUGACAUGCAUAUAAAGACUGCGUUCCAAAGGUUAAUGCUCCUUAAUCCUGAAGGGAGUGGAAGCAAAUAGUAAUGGAUGCAGAAGGAGAGGUUUAAAAGGAAGAGAUGAAUUUCUUUAGACCAAAUAAAAAUGAUCCCUCACGCUUGUCUAGAGCUUAAAGGAGUCACUGCAUAGAAGUGAUUUUAUCUGAAAGUGGAGGGGAAAAGAGAAAUUGUACAUGGACACUUCCCUCACCCUGGCAUUUCCUAUUGAAGCCCAGAAACUCUGGAAAUAGGAGAAAGACAGAUCCUGCAUGACCCACGGUGCCUUCUCACUUCCUGCUGGAGUUAUUGCAAAAGGAAUCCAGGAGACAAUGGGGCUGCUGAACACUUUCCGGAAUCGGGGCAUGCCUGCUAUGGUAUCAGGGGCCCUUUUGCUCGGGGGCCUUUCCUGGGUUCCCCUCCAGGGUCACCAGCAUGGGUCACACUUCCUUCCCCCAAGCUGGCUUGUUCCAUCAGGCCUUUCAGGGAAACCAGCGGCUGCCGGUGGUUGAGACUUCUGCUCAUAUGUAGCCCUGGCGGAAAGAAAGCACUCUAGAAAGGGAUUAUAUAAUGGAUUGUAAUGACACUGCUUAUGGUGGUUGUUAUUUUGAAAUGUGUCCUGGAGUAAUAAUAUAUUUCAGCACUCAGUAUAGAUUUCACAUUCUCAAGCAAAAUCAAGUGUAGUAAGGAGGGAGCUCUCUGCCCCUAAAAGCUCUUGUUCUGAUGUCAUGCCUACAAUCCUAUCUCUUCCUAUAGGUUAUUUAAAUGUCUCCUGAGGUAACCAGUUGCAUGUAGCCAAACCCCUUUUUUAAUUGAGUUUUCUUUUUUAAGAUGAGUCAUAUAUCCCCCCAAAAAAGCACCAAUUCAGAAUAAAGGCAGGAACAUUCUAGACAUUUUCGAGACACCAGUCUAAGGGCAGAAAGGAAAUUUCAUAACUAUCAUUAUGUAUUAUGGUACAUCCAGUCCCAGGCCCACAUCUCUUAGAUAACCCCCCUCAUCCUAUACCCCGUCCCCCCACUAUCCCUACCUCCCUGAUGUUAUCUGUUCACGGUUUUGUGCUGCUGGCUCUCAUUCUGGAUUUGUAUGGGUAACCUCUCCUCUGGGCACUGGUAACCCACCCACCUCUAAGGGUCAGUUGAAUAAUGCACUAAGGUGAGUGGUCAUGGUUCUCAACAGAGGUGACUUUGCACUUGAGGGGAUAUUUGACAAUGCAGUUUUGGUCAUCACGCUUGGUGGGAGGAUGCUACUGGCCAGUGGGACAGAGGCCGGGGUGCUGCUCUACACCCUACAAUGCAUGGCAAAGGUCCCCCACACAAUGUCAAUAGUGCCUAGGCGGAGAAACCCUGCCUUAACCUGUGAUUGAUUUAUAGUUUUCCUCUUAAAUUCCACUUUUUCCGUGAAGCUUCCUCUGAAUGACCCUGUUUUCUCCCUUCUUUGAACUCCACUCUACAUUUGGCACUAAGCCAUGCACUGCAUCGCAUUGUUCUUUAGAAUUUGUGUGUGGACAGCUCAUCUCCCUAAUUGGAUGUGAGGUUUCCUGACAGCAGGGCUCAUCUCCCCUUCCUUUGUGUGUUUAACUGUACUCGACCCAGUGCUCUGCACUUAGCGUUUCCUCAAUACAUUCCAGAUAAAUGAACAUAUCUUCAGUGGACGACUGAAUUCUGAAGUUUGAAGUUGAUAUAUUGGGAUGAUGGCAAGGAUUCUCCAAGAAACUUAGAAAUAGGGUAAAACAACAAUAAUAAAAAGUUACUCUUAGAGAUCUAGAGAAAUUAAAUAAGCAUAUAAUGGAAGUGAACAGCAUUCUCUCUGGUGCCCACAGAAAUAGCCAUUUGAUAAUUGGUUCAUAAUAAUCUUAACAUGCAGCACAGAAAAAAAGAAUAAUAGAAUUAAUGAUUUAUGUUAAAUCUUAGUUGGAGGAUUGAAAUGACUGAAUUUGGGAGACACAGAUAUCUGUCUAGUGUUUCCUGUGAGACGAUGGGAGUUUCAUUAAACCUUAUCUUUGCUUAGAUGACAUGAUCCUCAAGACAUUCUCCACCCAUUUGCUUCAGCUCCACGCCAACCAAGCAACAUUCAGAUUAAUAACCCAGCCUCCUAGCUGCUCAGGACAUGGAAAGGGGUGUCUUAGAUGGAAGGGGCAAGCAUUCAGGACACUGGACAUAAAUAUCACCCAUAAUAAAUUAGUAAAUUGACCUUUGGUUUACACAUUAAUCUGUGAAGUGAGUGUGUGAGUCUCUCCCCAAGAUCCUGACUCCAUCUGGGAUUAUUGAUAAGGGCCAGUUUUUGACUGAAUAGACAAGGGGCCAGACUCUGGUCUGUGACUCAUUCACCAAAGCAGUGCCAUGUUGGAAACUGUUUGACCAGUAGCUAUCUUGCUUUCCCCCUGUGACAUCCCUAUUUUGCCUCAAGCCUUUCUUUCCAGCUCCAACAUAUCUUAACAUGGUACAAUUUUAAGUCCCGUUCCCGAUUCUGGAAUUACCACUUUCCCCCCCCCACACCUCCA